rnacentral:rRNA from 1 species
GAUGAACGCUGGCGGCGUGCCUAAUACAUGCAAGUCGAGCGAACGGACGAGAAGCUUGCUUCUCUGAUGUUAGCGGCGGACGGGUGAGUAACACGUGGAUAACCUACCUAUAAGACUGGGAUAACUUCGGGAAACCGGAGCUAAUACCGGAUAAUAUUUUGAACCGCAUGGUUCAAAAGUGAAAGACGGUCUUGCUGUCACUUAUAGAUGGAUCCGCGCUGCAUUAGCUAGUUGGUAAGGUAACGGCUUACCAAGGCAACGAUGCAUAGCCGACCUGAGAGGGUGAUCGGCCACACUGGAACUGAGGCACGGUCCAGACUCCUACGGGAGGCAGCAGUAGGGAAUCUUCUGCAAUGGGCGAAAGCCUGACGGAGCAACGCCGCGUGAGUGAUGAAGGUCUUCGGAUCGUAAAACUCUGUUAUUAGGGAAGAACAUAUGUGUAAGUAACUGUGCACAUCUUGACGGUACCUAAUCAGAAAGCCACGGCUAACUACGUG